rnacentral:rRNA from 1 species
UGGGGAAUAUUGGACAAUGGGCGAAAGCCUGAUCCAGCAAUGCCGCGUGUGUGAAGAAGGUCUUCGGAUUGUAAAGCACUUUCGACGGGGACGAUGAUGACGGUACCCGUAGAAGAAGCCCCGGCUAACUUCGUGCCAGCAGCCGCGGUAAUACGAAGGGGGCUAGCGUUGCUCGGAUUGACUGGGCGUAAAGGGCGCGUAGGCGGUUUGUACAGUCAGACGUGAAAUUCCUGGGCUCAACCUGGGGGCUGCGUUUGAUACGUGCAGACUUGAGUUCGGAAGAGGGUCGUGGAAUUCCCAGUGUAGAGGUGAAAUUCGUAGAUAUUGGGAAGAACACCGGUGGCGAAGGCGGCGACCUGGUCCGAUACUGACGCUGAGGCGCGAAAGCGUGGGGAGCAAACAGGAUUAGAUACCCCCGUAGUCC